CGCUGUCAACUACCGGGAAGAGACCUUCAGAUUCAGCACGAUCAUUUCCAGAUGUCAGAGAGCAUUAGCACUCAGAGUCCACACCAUUCUGAUGGCCCCUGACAUCCUCUGUUCUUGGAAGCUGAGCAGAUUUGGGACUGGGUAUUUCCAGGAUAAUUAAGGAUUUAAUUGCAAAAUUCAAAACAAAGCAAUGAAGGCAAAUACAGAGAAAUGCAUGUUAAUCCUCCCUGUAAGAAUUUCAGAACACAGUGUGGAAGGCAGAAAGAUACCAGCAGUCAAGUCCAAAGGUGAACACCAGACAGUAACAUAAAUCAGCACAGUUCAGCAGGUUGGGAUGAGUCAACGGAAACUGCAAGACUCACUUGGAUGGCACCGAAAAGUCCUCUGGAACACUUCCCUCUUCGAAGUCAAGGGUCGAAGCACAAAGACCAGCACAGAAAUGUCGAUCCAAAUAACAUUGUCUCAGUGUGCAUGGGCCUCUACAUGUCUCCUCUCCUCUGAGUCCAGCCACGAAGGUUUUCUGCCAGCCAAAGUCAAGCCCCUCACAUGAGACAGCUCACAGCAAGACAUCACGUGCCCUCUCACAAGACAGCUUCUAGCAAAACAUCACAUGAAACAUCUGAGCCUUCAGAAAAAAAAAAAAAAAAAACCCAGAAACUUCGACUUCAUCCUAUGAUCUUGAGAAUCUGUGGUUCUGGUCAGCUGUGCCUGAAAAUUCAACUGUGUGUCCAGCACCAUUGAAGUGAGACCUUUGCUUUACUGGGACAAUUGAUGCGCGUUCCCUGAGGCUGAGAAAUCACCUGAUGAAGAAGAGACAGACAUUAUUGAGGUGAAAUCUUCUGAGAAGUGUUUUUUUCCAGUUCAUCACACAGAAGCUAUAGCCCGGUAGUAGGGGUGCAAAGCUGUACUUUGGGCUGGCAGCUGAACGAUAACUGUUAACGAUAUUUAACAGUCUCUGAUGUGGUACUGAUUUUUGGUGUGACAGCUGAAGGUUGGCACUGUUUGAGGAUAGGAGACACAAUUGGUAAAGGUGCAGCUUUGGUUGCAGUAAAGCAAGCAGGAUCGUAAGGGUCAGGGGAGAAGCUGAGGCUUGGCCCUUUUUGGCAGAGUGGGAGUCCCUGAAGAAUGACUAGGAGGCCGUUGGUGAAGGUGUAGCCUCUGCCUCAGUGAAGACUCCAAAAUAUUGAAGAUGCUAAGACUGGGAUGACAACUAAGGACAACAUCAGCUGUAAAGUGAAGCCGGCCAGAGCCCACGAGAAAACCUAUGUAUGCUACACAUGACAGAGUCAGAUAAAUGGAACUGUCCAAGCCCUUUAGAAUUCACAAGUUUACGAAUGAGCCCCAGACAUUGGACACUGUGCUGUUUACACUGUUGGAUUAUGGUUUUGCUUUGAUCUGAUUGGAACUGUGUCCUGGUUCUUUCCUAUUGGAACAAGAAAUUAUUAAAUUUAUUUUUUAUUUACCUGGAUCCCACAGAGACUGGAUUUUAAAGAGAUCUUGGACUAGUGUUAAAACCAUUAAAGGCUAUAGAAUGUCAAAA